rnacentral:rRNA from 1 species
UACGUAGGGUGCAAGCGUUGUCCGGAAUUAUUUGGGCGUAAAGAGCUCGUAGGUGGUUUGUCGCGUCUGCCGUGAAAGCCCGGGGCUUAACUCCGGGUCUGCGGUGGGAUACGGGCAGACUAGAGGCAGGUAGGGGAGAACGGAAUUCCCGGUGUAGCGGUGAAAUGCGCAGAUAUCGGGAGGAACACCGGUGGCGAAGGCGGUUCUCUGGGCCUGUACUGACGCUGAGGAGCGAAAGCGUGGGGAGCGAACAGG